rnacentral:lncRNA from 1 species
UACAGGGGGGUAGUGGACAUCUUUAGUAGGAGUACUAGAAUGACUUAAACCAAAAUAAAAUAGCUCUCACCUUUUAAUGCCUUGAAAAGAUGUACUAUAAGUGAUGGUAUUGAACUCUCAUGGAGUAAAUUAUUAAAGGAUCCUAUCUAUUUUUUAAGCUGCUUCUUGAAGGUUUUCCCCUGGAACUACACAAUUCUGUAGUUGAGAAAGUCACUUUUAUGUGCAUUAAUGUGUAUCUGUAUUGUAUAUGGAUUUUCUUUUUGUAGUUAGGAGUAGAACAAUGAUUGUCCUUGUCAUGUUGGAUGCUUCUAUAUGAAAGAAGUGGACAGGCAAAGGAUUUCUUGUACUUGCUUGAAUUUUGCAUAGAUUUAAUUCAUCACAAAAUUUACAUGUUUAUAGGGUUUUACCACUUACGCGGAGCGGCGAAUAGUGGAAGCUGUGCAGGGGGAAGACAGAGCUGCACUGAAUAUUGGAAUUGGUUGGAAGGGGCUUGUCGAUGCAGUUGAGAGAUUCAAGGAUAACAUGGAGUUUACAAAGCUGAAAACGAACCAAGAAGGUGUGGAUCCAGAUGAAAUAUAUUCUGAGAUUCCAUAUGAGAAAGGUUUCCAGUUUUUGUGGCGUAUUGAGAGACAGGUGUAUAUGCCAGUUUUUCCCUAUGCCUUCAAGGCUGUUAAUUGUUGACUAACGGAUGUUUCUUUUUAUCAGUCUAAUUUCUUUCUUCACGUGGAAAAUAUUACCACUGCCAAUCUAUUUACUUUAAUUAAUAAGAGGGACUUCAUCUGAAGUUAUUAGCAGUUUAAUAGAUUUUUGUUUUCCCAAAUUCAGAUUGGAAGACCUGCAUUUGAUGAAUUCAUCAAAAAGUACAUUGCAACCUUCAAGUUCCAAUCUAUUGAUACAGACACGUUUCUCAAUUUCUUAAAAGCUAACGUACCUGGAAUUGAGAAUCAGAUUGAUUUAAAACUAUGGACAGAAGGUAUUGGCAUCCCACCUGACGCCAUGGAGCCAGUUUCCAGUAUCUAUACAAAGAUUGUGUCACUGGCUAAUGAGUUUAAACUAGGCAGGAUGCCGAGGGAGGAUGAAGUUGCCGACUGGCAUGGACAAGAGUGGGAGCUUUACCUUGAGAACCUGCCUAAAUAUGUUGAAGCUUCACAAGUAAGUUCUUUUGGAAUAGAAAAUCUGUGGUAAUUAUUUUUUAUUGUUGUUUCCUAGACCUGUCUUUGUAUCUUUUCUUUUACUUAUCUAUGUUUCAUUUACUUGGAAAUCAUUCCUGGUAGUUAAUAAAUAGCAUACAGGAUGAGCCUUAAUACUUUUCAAUUGCUUUGUUGGUCUCAUGGGGAUAUCUUAAUGUUUUGUAUCCUUUAACUUUUUGUUUAUACUAGCCUUUUGUUGUAUGGAAUGUAUUAAAAAACUGGUAGGUAUCAUUUGAUCCUCAUGGAGAUAUCUUAAUGUUUUGUAUCUUUCAACUUUUUGUGUAUGCUAGCCUUGUGUUGUAUGGAAUGUAUAAAAGAACUGGUAGGUAUCAUUUGAUCCUUCAAUUCCACCAUGUGUUUCUGAGUUUGGAGUCUGUUGAAAUUAUUGACUUUGUUAAUUGCUUUUGGGCUUGGAUAAGCAGAAGCAGAUUUAAAUUGGUUGCUACAUUUUCUCAGACGUUAGAAAAAUUUGUUUCUUACUGUUGUUGAUAAAUGACAAUCCUUUGAUUGACCUCCAAGCUCAACAGAUCUUUCUAUAUUUUUGAUUGAUCAACUAAUUUAAUAUGUUCAAAUUGGUUCUCAACUUUUCUAGCCUUGAAAGAAAUUAGAUGUUGACAGGUUUGAGAUGACUUACGGCUUAAUUCUGGCCUAAAAAAGAUCUUGAAUCUUACAUUUGUACAUCUGGAAAGAGAUGAACUACAAGUAGAGUUUUCUCUCAAUUAGCUGUAGUUUUUCACUGCUACCAUUCAAAGAUGCGGUAGCUUUUAGGAGAGCUUGAUACAAGCGGUUAAGAGGAUGAAGUUAUUGCUCUUGUGAAGAAUAGGCCUCUUUGUGGCGUUAGUGUAUCUGUUCAACUUGAGAAAGUGUCCAAUUGACUCUAAAUAAGCAUUUAUCUAUUUCUUUGGCUACAGUUUGGUUCCUUUAUGCUAUUUGGUACUUCCCAAUGCUUUGUUUCUGCCCUUCUUAUCAAGAUACAUAACACCAAAGCCUUGGCUUUAUGAGUUAAAAGGAUAUGCUUAAUUGAUAGUUUCAGGUGAGAAAUAACAGCAUUUUGUGAUGAAGAAUUAAGAUUGUAAAGUUGGUUUUGUCUUUCAAUUUGCGGUUGUUGCACAGGCUUUAGCUUUGGAUGCUCGCUAUAGGCUUUCAGAAUCAAAAGACUAUGAGGUCAAGGUUGCUUUUCUUCAGCUGGCGAUUGCAUCCAAGUGCAGAGACUAUUUUGGUGAGGUGGAGAAAACUCUAAAAGAAGUUGGGAGGAUGAAGUACCUUCGCCCACUUUAUACUGCUCUUGUUCAAGGUGCUGGAAAGGAUGAAGAGAAAAUUUUUGCGAAGAGGGUGUUCUCAGAAGCUCGAGAUUGCUACCAUCCAAUAGCUCAGGGAGUGGUUGAGACCAUCCUGGGAAAAUACGUGUAAAAUAGCAUAUAUGUUCGAACAAUAUGCACUAAUCUAAUUUCUGAUGUAACUUUUGAUGUCUGGUAUCUUACGUGCUGGUGCCUUAAAUGCUUAAAAGCUAAAUCAUCCUUCUGGGUGCUUUUGUUGAUCUAGAUUUCUUUCUAACUACUGGAUUUUUGUACAGGUUUUAUUGGUAAGUUUGUUCCUUUGAUAAUUCCCAUAUUCAUAAACCAAGACCUUUUUGGAGGCCUUUAGCUGCAAAGUUGUGAACUUAAAACAGUCAUGCAGAAGCUUGGAAGCUUUACUUGGGGACUUCUAUCAUCCUUUUACUUCUUUAACCCAUUUAAUGAGUAAGGGGCUGGUUUGUACGAAGGAGCUGACUUAGAUUGUUAACAUAAUUAUAUGAAGUUAGAUUGUUUUGGUAACUGAGACCUUGACUCUUCUUCAUUUAAUGUCUUAAUCAUCAAUUUCCAUAAUUUUCUUUAGCUAAAGAAUAGCAUGUUCUACUAACUCUAUCUCUUUCUCAUGUAUUUGAUAUUUGUUUGUGGUUCUGGAUAUAGCAAGGGUCCUGUUCCUCUUGCAGUGAUGUAGUUUUUCAUAGAAGUAUAACACUAAAAGAGAAACAUACAAGGCACUAUAGCAUUAGUUCUAGGAACAUCGUCUCUUUUGCCCAAAAACAGUAAAUAUGCCAAUUCUAUAUGGGCUAUCAAACGCUUCUUGUGGAAACCUUCAAUUUCAGUCCAUGUCUCAUAUGAAGUAUCACAGAAUUACCUGGAACAGUUUGAUGUCCUUCCAAGAUUUGAAAGUGGAAACGACAGAGAAGGGCUACUGCAACAAUUUUCAUUUGGAUGAAAGAAAUUUCCUUGCCCUUGCAACUCCUAGGUCCUGCAUUGAAUGCUGUAAACUUGAAAGAUGGUUCAUGUGUAAUGCCUACUUGCUCUGAAAUCCAUAUGUGGUUUGAAUUCCAAGCAGUAUUUGCCCCAGAUUGUUUCCAUCCUGCCCAUCUCAUAGAAAGACAACAGCGUCUUGGUAUUAGGAUUCAUGCGGUGACUGCUUGGAAGAAUAUCAGGCUUGACUGGAGCUCUGUGCUGCAUUGCAACCGGAGGGAACAGGCGAAGUGAUUCACAUAAUGCGCCGUGCAGAUAAACCAGUUUCUUCAUCUCUUCUAGGUUGGAAAACUGCCACCUUCCUUCUUUUACCUGUAAGUUACUCAGUAUCUCUUUUCAAACCAUAUUUUCUUCAAUAGGAUUUGAAGCAGGGAGCCAAAAGAACCAAGUGAGACCUGCACCAAUGGUAUCUUUACCCGCAAAGAUUAAAGUGAGUAAAGCGUCUCUCCAAAUUUUUUGAGACACUAUUAUCAGAUGUUCUAUUCUCUUCUUUGAGAACUCUGGCUGCUUUCAUGUACCUUGCUAACAAGUCAAGGCCUCCUCCAUCUUGCAAAAUCGCAGUUUGGUUUAUAUCUUCCAAGUUUUCAGACUUAGAUGAGAUGUUGGUAGCUAAAAAUUGAUGAAGGUUCUCCCGAGCUUUAGUUAACUUCUUUUCCGCACCAAUUUGAAGCCACCUCUGAAUCUUCCAGCAAGUUCUGGGUACCACAUGUCUGUAAAAGACUGCUUCCUCGGCAUCAGCUAAGGUAUUUCCUAAUGGACUUUCUGGCAAGUCAAUACCGAGUGAAGCAGGAUCAUGACCCAAUACUAAUAUGCAAGUGGUGUCAAAGGUAAACUUGGCAAAUAGUUGUUGCAAGUCCACCUCCAUACCUGACUUGGCCGCAUGCUCCAGGACAGGGAUCAGCCCUUUCUCCAACUUGUUCCAGCUAGUUAUUCCCACAAACUUCUGGAAUCCCUGGUGAUUAAUUAGUGGCAUGAUUGUUUUCCUUUGGCUGUCCCAAGAUUCGCAUUCAGCAUUGAAGAUCCCCUCUCCUAGAAUGUCAAACAUCUUUUCAAACUCAGGACCCUUUUGAAAGUUUGAGAAGUUUUUACUCAAUAUGUAGUUGACGUUAGCAGAAUCGCUGGUGACCAGCAUAUCCAUAUUUGCAAACCAAGGACCUUUAAACUCAAAUGUGCCUCCACUUUCUUGCAAAAUCUCGGUUAUAUAAUCCUGGGUGCGGUGUACAUUUAGGAACAGGUCUGGCAUCAUGCCAAUAACCGGCCAGUUAAAGGGAAUUGAGGUUUUCUCUCCUUCUCCUCCUCCAAUACCCAUAGCACGCAAAAAGAAAGUAGACGACCACACAGAGAAUCUGAGGGUAUAGAAUGAUAGCCAUCAGAAUGUAGAUGGAUUACUUCAUGAGUUAAAGAGGUUAUUCAAUGCCGUCCCUCGAGGCUUCUUAUAUGGGGCAUUUUUCAAGCACGUAGCUAUAAGAAGGACAGGCAUCUAAAAGGACGAUUUUCUGUUCAGUGCCUGAAGAAGUUAACAAAUGCAAUGUGGCCUUGGUUGUAUUUUGUGCUUGUAAGGCGCCAUAUCUCUUCUGAAGAGGUUUUAGGAAUGCUAUUGACAUGACUUUCAGGUACACAGAAAAGAGGGGAAGUUGUGACUUUUGCUGUAUGAUGUAAUAUGUUGGUAGGACUUGCAACUUUUCAAUUUUACGUUGUGAGUGCAUACAUCAACUAUAUUCAGACUUUAUUCGGUAUCUCUUGAUUCAGGUUUCACAUAAUAUAAACAAAUUAUAUAGCGUUUGCAAUAUAUCACAAGCAAUUACAUCAAUAUGUAACUGACAGAUUGCUCGCUCACUAAGAAUCAGUAAAAGAUUAGACUAAAAUCUGAAAGUGAUUACAGGUAUCAAUUUUCUUCAAGAAAGUUGGAGGUACGAGUCCAAUUGCCCGUGUUUGGUACGUGUUCUGGGGUUGAUACUAAAUUAUGAGAUCCCAGAUAAUUCCUGUAUUUUAUUAGGUAUUACCACCCCCUCAUUUUUAAACACUUCGGGGUGAUUGUUUAGACACUUUCGCAAAUACUCAAAGAGUACCAAGCGAUACAAGAUUGAGGGAAAGUUACAGAGUUUGUUAUGCUACUAGAAUCCUUUGAGAAAAUGUACUUGUCUGAGAAUAAAAUACCAGUACCCACUCUCAAUGUCUUGUGGUUCCCAUACACUAUCUCCCCAAUGGAGAUGAAACAUACCAAUCCCCAAAUGAACCUGAGCUUCAAGUUUCCUGAUUAAGAAAAAACUGGAUACCGAGUUGAUUGAUACAAGAAGCUUCUGUUCAUCUUGGAAGAUGCUUCUAAGCUAAAAAUGAAAUUCAGCAGAGUGUGUGGCGGUCAAGGUACAUCGCCAGCAACACAAACAACAUUUCCUCUACAUCAAUGGCAAGUCAAUAGUAAGAAUGACUCAAGAAAGUAACAAUAAAUCAUGUCUCAGAAUACCAUGUCUCAAAGAUGUUUGAUCAGAAAAUUUGUGUAAUUUUGGGGGGAAGGAGGGUUGCCCAUGAUGGAGCAGAAAGCAAGACAGGAAGUGAGGGAUGAGGUGGCUCAAGUAUUAAGUCAGGUUGUAGUAGGCAUAUCCAAAUUGCCUAUCACUAGCUUUGGCAACUCUCUCUCAGUCACAGAAUCUGGACUUGGUUAUAACCUGAUCAUAAUUUUUCUGCGGUUCCUAAUACUUGCUGCAUAAUUAGGGACUCUUCAUGUAAUACAGAAACUCUCAUGCAUUGAAAUCAUAUGAAAAUGGGGUAAUGGUUUGAUAUCCUCAAAUGUUGCUGGAACCCAUACAAAUUAAGAGAAUCAGCUUGAAGGGAGUCUGGUUGUCAGUUAGAAACCUAAUUGUUACCCCUGAAGGCUCUAAAGUAUUUGUAUGCCAAGAAACCUUCAAUCAAAUGCAGCCCUUCAUAAUUUAUAAAAAUUACAUCAAAUUAACAACUCUACUAAGAUGCGAUUCUCAAAAACAAUUCCGACGCUGCAAUUCAUUAGUAUCACAUAACGCAUAGCUAUGUCUGACUCAGAUUAAAGGACCAAAGCAAUCAUUAAAUCAUUAAAUAACAACACCCCAGCUUUUUACCACACGAUAUUCUUGUCCCACAGCAUCAUUAUUUGGAGAUUAAUCAAUUAGUAAUGAGUCAAUUUUACGACAGAAAUAUAUGAUCACCCACCUACAUACCUAGUCGACAUAUCCAAACCUCACUAAGGUUGCAUCUCAUUCAGAAUCAUCAACGACAUUGUCACAACAGUUGAAACUACUCAUCUGGAACAAAAGUUUCUCCCAAAAAUGACACUCUAGAUGAACCUGAUUAAAGAGUAUCACUCUAGUCAAAAACCAAAGAAACAAAUUCAGGAUAAUCAGCCUAUAAAAAUCUUCAUCAAGUUGUGUCAGAAGAGAUAUAAACUACAAGCUUUCCCACUUGAAUUUGAUGAAAAAAUGAAGUCUAAUUAACAAAACUUACAGGGCAGGCAUUACAGCCAAUAGCAAAACAAGAAGAGCAACCAACUAUUCUCCUCAACUGCCACCCUCCUCCUCCAACUUCUUCACAUAAGCCUGUAGCGUCAUAACCAAAUUCCUAGCAGGGGCCUGCAAAGUUCCAACAACAGCAGAUGCAGGACCCUUGAGCGAUCCCAGAAUCUUAGCAUAAAUUUCAGCUCUUGAUGGCAAAGAUUCCAAGGCCUUAAACUCCUCAGGCCCAUAAAACUUCCCUUCAAAAACAGCCCCAGUAAAAUCAUUCCCUUCCAACUUUUUCUCCCUCUGAAACUCCCUGUAAGGCUUUAUUGCAGUUGGGAUUUCUUCACUAUGGACAAAUAACCAGGCAUUCAUUCCCUUCAUGCAUGGCUUCAGUGCUUCCCACUGAGUACCUUCAAUGGCUUUAUAAACAAGAGUGUUUUUAGCAACGAGAAGUUUCGAGGAUUCUGGGAGUUGCCUUCUAAGUUCUUGAAAUUGUUUGACGGUGAAGCCUUUAUAGCCAAUGCCAGCGAUGAGAUAGCAACCUUGAAGCUGUAGUUUGACUGAUUCAACAGUUUCUUCUUUCUUGGUUCUGCUGAUGGCUGAGCGGAUCGUUAAAGGUGCGAACUUUGGGCGGCGGCAGUGGUGGUGGUGCGUGGUGAGGAAGGGGUUUCUGAAGUGGGAUUUUAGAGAAACCUUGUGGGAAUUGGAUGGGAGGGUGGGUGUUGGGGGUCUGGAAGAAGGUAAGGUGAAGAGAUUGGCCUCCAUUUCCAGAGGGAUUUGUGGCCUUUUUGUUGCUGAAGCGCUCCAGUAAUGUUUCGGGUCUGAGAUUGUUCGUUCACCUUAUCCUUUCUUUUGGUUGGAGGUAGGGGCCUGAAACGGCUGCGUUUAACGAAUCAAUUCUUACCAUUUUUCAUGAUUUACCCCAAACUUUUAUAUGAAUUAGUACUGUCCUAUUCAUCCAACUUUAGCACAAUUUCCUUAACUUUUCAAAACUUGUUUCUUGAAAUUGAUCCAAUCCUGUUCAAGUCAAUUUGGAAAAUGAUAUUAGUGAUAUUAGCGCUUCUCAAAAAACCUCAAUUACUUCUUAAACUUCAUCUAAUGCAAAAGAAGGCACGAAAAGUACUAAUAUUAUUUUCUCCUAAAUUUUUAGAAAAUAAUAGUUACAUCUAAGACUCGGGAAAUUUUAAAUUCUUUUUGUUCCUGCAAUUAUAUCUUGAAUAAACUUCAUAUUUCUGAAGCUAUUUAACUUAAGAGAUAAAAAACUACUUUCGUUCUGAAAUUUUAUUGGUUUGCCUUUGCUGAAAACGUCCUACAACUACAAGUGUCGUUAUUGACUGCAAGAAUUGACUUGCACAGAUUAUUUUCGCAUCCUGGAGAGACCAUAUAUAGAUACGUAUGACAGAAAACAGUAAAAACACAAAGUUAUCGGAUCAAAAUGCUGGUGCACAGCACAGCUUAGUUCCCAUGAGCUGAACUGUGAGCAGAAGUGUACGACAACUGCUUAUGGUAUCAAAAUUCAAUUGCAAGUAUUCCACAGGGACUGAGUGGAGAAUAGUUUGUGGUCUGAAUUGAUAAUCGUGAAUGCAAAGUCUGCUGCACUGAACUGGAAGGUAAAGAACGUGCUGAAGAAUAUGGAUUGGGCAAAGUAUCAAACUUUGGCUUCCAACUAAGGAGCACUCUCUCUUUCCAAAAUGAAAUCAACCGCCUCUGCCACUGUAUCAACCACCUGUGUAGCCAAUCAAUCAAAAUUCACACAUAGUCGGCAACUGCACAGGAGAAUGACUGGGUCACAGUUGAAGUAUUUGCUUAUCUUUUGAACGAAACAGUUCACCAAUUUGGUUCAUGGUGGAUGUAUUCUUAAUGUUGUCAAAGAAACCAAAAAGGAUAAACAGCAAAAGGUAAGCUGAACUUCAGAUGAAUAUUCAGGGUUUAUUGGAAGAUCUCUGGGGCCAUUAAGCUGGUAAAUUAUAAUUGAGGUUGUAUAAUUCAGGCACUCAAUCUUUAUCCUUAUUGACUAGUGUACCAAAACAAGAGUUUUUGCACAUUGUAGUUCAUCAUAUCAAAAUAAUGAUUGUAGAUGUUAAUUUUCGUGUCAAGUGUCCCGUAACAGUCUGUUCCAAAAGCCAGCAAAACGAUUUAGCUCAUCAUCUAUUGAAUGUAUCAUCAUCAGACUUACCACAUCAGCUGGAUAUUCAGCAUGAUUUUCCGUUUGCCUAAAUACACCUGUUCUAGUCAAAAUUGAAAACCAAGGAUGUCCUGCCUGAGAAUUCAAAGGGUAAAGAAAAGAACUGAGAAGAGAGACCAAUGUCACUUGAUUUCAAACAUCAAUUUUUGCAUAGCUGAGAUUAGAGAGUACUGUUACAGAAACAAACCUGUAAUGCCCCUUUGAUGUCUACUAAAGGAUUGUCACCAAUCAUAUAGAGGGUCGUAAAAGAAUGUGACGACGAGUCUUCAUCUUCCGGCCUAAUGGCAUUACCAUGACAUGAGAAUGCCCAAAUAUGCCUUAAUAUAGCUUCAGCAUUCCUAAAAACAAAUGGAUUUGGCUUCCCAAAAACUGUACACUCCAGCGGCAUGUCGUGAAUUCUGCACGGAACACGUACUUAAUGAGUUUUCGUAUCAUAUAAUGAAAAAAAAAAAAGAAAUUCUGAUCCAAAUUGCAUUGGUGAGGAUGUCUUCAGGUUCUCUGGACAAGUACUUAAAAACUACUACUACUUGACAGCAGGUUCUCUACGCUCACCUGUUGAAGACACUUUCAAGGGCAAUUCUGAAUGCACCUAUGCCAAGACGCUCGGAAGGAAAUGCAGCCUGUCCUAGAUUAAUGCAUUAUCAGUAUCUCCUUAGUGAAAGGAAAGACUAUCUACAGCGACAGGAGUAACCUUUCGAACAUAACUAAAAGCAAACAUCACAUGAAGGCAAUCAGUUACCUGAUAUUGAAGAUCAUCAGCAGCAAAAAAUAGCGGUGGCUGAUGUUCUUCCUCCCCUCCAAGAAGACCUCGAGAGGAUAAAAUGUCACAAAGGACCUAAUGCAUCAAUUAGUAGACCCACAAGGAGUAACGACUCAAAUUUUUGCUACUUAUGAGAAACAUCAAACAAGGAAAACAGCGACUACAGGAAAAGAUUGAAGAAAGAAUAACCAAUGUAAAGGUAAAGAACAAAGACUCGUGUAUCUCAAAACUAGCCGUGUUUAGCUAUAGUUGCAUCACAUCUUAUUUUGUCUAUAUUUUAACGUAUCCGUUGGCAUAAGUGAGCAAUGCAGUAUUCGACAGGAAAAAGACAAAGCGAAAGCAAGGCUUAUGACUUGUCACUGGAAAGAAAUUACAAGAAAAUUUUUGGUGUCUGAAGUAUCCAUGCUUUGUUUCUUGCCUUGAUGUUCCCUUCCUGACUAGAUUAGAACUUCUGUCAUCUCUUUUUUCUUCCUUUUCCAUCUUCAUCACCACAUAAGAUCAUUAGGUGAUUUAAGCAGCUAAUAGCAAAGAUAGCCUUGUAAUCCUUGCAAUGGAUUGAAGCUGGGGCCAUUACUACUCUGGUGUGGCCAAGCUAUCCUUUGCAAUCAUAUUGAACAAAAACCAUUCUGGAGGCAUUAAAUUCCUCAGCUUAAGUGUCACUGGUACUUGUUAUUAUGACCAUAUUUACACUUCCAGUCAUGAUUCAUUGCUUGGUACAAACUCAAAACUAUUCAUUGCAUGAUUAUAUAGUUAGUAGCGUAGGCUCUAGCAGAAAAUUUAACAUGAUAAUGCAGUCAUAUCUAUCAAUUCACUGCAAUAGAAAUCAAGUUAAAAUAUAAUCUGCUCAUACAAUUACAGUUAUAAGUAGCCGAGGGGCAAAAGGUACACAUGCAAUCCAUAUCUAGAAAGAAAAUUGAUCAUACACCUGAAUAUCUCUCCCCCAGUCAACAGGAUCACUAACAAUAAAUGCAGCCUUUACUCUGUCGAGGGAAACAUCUUGAAUUGACUUCAUUGAAAAUGGUAGCAUAUUUGAUUCCUGCUUAACCUUCCAGCUUUUGUACUGAGCUACAGGAUCAAUGUUAUCAAAGUAUGAUGCAUAGUCGUCCAGUGAGAUAACAUUUCUGGACAUAUUUUCAAAUUAUAGACCAAUUUAAUUGAGCCGAUAUAAAAAAAUCCGGACUGCAUUGGAUACUAAAAUACGAAAGCAUCAUGUUGAAAUAUGAUGCUACAACUUUCCUGAAACCAUACUCAGACAUCACCAGUUCAGGUUCCCCUUUUCCAGUUGCAACAAUGAAAUCAUUUUUGAACCUGGAAAAAUAGGAGAAUGCGAGAUACAAAUGAAGGGAAUGUGCGGGAAAGCUAAACGAAGUGAAGCUCAGUGAAUUACAUAUCUACCUUUUCAGCAAGCUUCUAAAACAUGAAUGCCCCUGUACAACCUGUAUCGAAUGUCAAUAUAGAAAGCUUUUCCAUGGCGAAAAAAGUGGAUUUCACCAAGAAAACCAGAAAAAAAUGCAUGGAUAUAUGAACAUGCCAAAAAGGAGCAGAAGAGAAAGACAGUCAUGAGAGCAAUUAAUAUUACCACUUCAUAUAAGCUUAAUCAAUUUAAAAUGAAAAAGUAAAUUAUUCAUCUAUACAUUGUAAAUCCGCAAGGUACAAAACUGAACAGGGAGCUUGCCCCACUUUGACACUAUAAUGACUUCCAAUUCACAACAUCAUGCAAAAUGAAUAGAAAAAUAAACAUCUAAUCCAUGGUGACAGCGGAAAAUUGUUCAAAGAUUACUUGAGAUGGUAAAAUUUUGACGCCUAGGAGUUGACUCAUCUCAAAGGCUCUUCUAGACUCUGGGGUGCCACCUCCUACAAAGCCAAAUAAAUGGAUCAUUUACCCAAUU